CCAGACUCCUACGGGAGGCAGCAGUAGGGAAUCUUCCACAAUGGACGAAAGUCUGAUGGAGCAACGCCGCGUGAGUGAAGAAGGGUUUCGGCUCGUAAAGCUCUGUUGGUAGUGAAGAAAGAUAGAGGUAGUAACUGGCCUUUAUUUGACGGUAAUUACUUAGAAAGUCACGGCUAACUACGUGCCAGCAGCCGCGGUAAUACGGGGGGUGCAAGCGUUGUCCGGAAUCAUUGGGCGUAAAGAGUUCGUAGGCGGCACGUAAAGUCUGGUGUUAAAGGCAGAGGCUCAACUUCUGUACGGCACUGGAUACUUGCGAGCUAGAAUGCGGUAGAGGUAAAGGGAAUUCCUGGUGUAGCGGUGAAAUGCUUAGAUAUCAGGAGGAACAUCGGUGGCGUAAGCGCUUUACUGGGCCGUAAUUGACGCUGAGGAACGAAAGCCAGGGUAGCAAAUGGGAUUAGAUACCCCCGUAGG
rnacentral:rRNA from 1 species